CGGCGCCAGGUCCCGGGCCCGUCCGCUUCGGACACUCCGCGGGGCGCGCCCCAGGGGGGCCUCGCGCCCCGCGGUGUUUGAGGAGGCGCCUCCUUGUGGGCGCCCGAGCGCAGGGUGCGCCCCGCCCCGCGUCCGGGUGGCUUUGGCGAGGAGAGCCGCCCCAGACCCGUGGCAGCUGCUCUGGUGCCACUUGCCGAGUAGCUCAUGCUGGCAUUGGUGCCUCCUUAAGGAAACGCCCAUUUCUAGGUUAAGCCGCGCUUUCGUUUUGUUAGUUUGUGCUGUUGAGUAGGGUGCACUCGGCGUGGUUUGGUUGUGAAUGCCUUAGCAUGUGUGCACAGACGGUCAGUUUGCCCACGCUUGCCGAGCAGUACCUCUCCACCACAGGGGGGGCGGUCCACGGCCCUCUCUUGUCAGGCCUCAGCUUCACUGCCCUAGCCACAACUCGUAUGUCUAACUGGACAAUGCUCUGCUUCUGCUAAGUGAGUUCAGUCCUUUUAUUCUUACGAUUACUUACCGAAUGAACUUGUUUCCACUAGAUUUGUGUGUUCUGCCUUUUAUAGUUGGUUAUGUUUUCUACUUUUUUAAAACUUUCUUCCUUAACAUUUAACUUGUUGUCUUCAUUUUUUCAUGUCCUGAAGGAGACAGCCUGGUGGUGAGGGGCAGGUGACUGAAGAGCCUGCAGGAGCCCAUGCCCAGCAGAGGCAGGAGCAGGGGUGGGCUGGCAACCGGUCGCAGGGGCGGGUGCCUGGAGAGCCAGCCGUGCCAGUGGGAGUCGGGCCCAGACCGCUGACCGAGAGGCCAGUGAGCCCUGACACCUUCCUUUCUUUCCCUUCAGAAUCUGUGGAAGGCCCAGGGCUCCAGGCGAUGGUGGCUUUGCAUCUGUCUGCCCUGGCCCACGUGAGCAUCCAUUGUCCCUAGGAGGGGUGAGGAGCUGGGCCUGCAGCUUCCAAGCCUGGCUAAUGACACAGUUGGAGUGAGAGGAUGAGCUGUGGGCUCUGGACACUCGGGGUGUCAAGGGAGAAAACAGCUGACAACUGACGGCUCAACUGUGUGAGGGGUCUACACCCCUAGUUCAGUCACUGAGCAGGCGUCUGUGGGGUCCAGGUAUCUGGCUGAUGAUUCGGGA